AUACUAACCUGGCAGGGGAGAUGCCAUGAUCACGAAGGUGGUUUUUCCAGAGCAAGACUUAUCCAUUGCACUCCGGUUAUGCUGACCCCUAUGAUUUCCCCAAAUGUGAGAAAUUCAACUGCAUAAUUUGUGGUAGUGGGGGACUGUAGUGGUGCUCUCUUCCC
rnacentral:snRNA from 1 species